UGAUAACAUGUUUGAAAAAAGCAUCUGCA
rnacentral:piRNA from 1 species